GAGGAAGUGUUAAGGACUCAAGUACUUUCCUUAAGGGUACCCAGAGUUUGAACCCUCACAAUGACUACUGUCAGCACUUUGUCGACACAGGGCACAGGCCACAGAACUUCAUCAGAGAUGUUGGCUUGGCUGACCGAUUUGAAGAAUACCCAAAGCUUCGGAGCUGAUCAGACUGAAAGACAACUGAUCUCCACCACCAACACCCCUCCCAUGUACCUCCAGGCUGAUCCAGAGCACUUUGACCUGCAGGAUUUGAAGUGCAGUUUGAUGUAAUUCUGCUUGAGCCUCCCUU